rnacentral:rRNA from 1 species
CAACGCUGGCGGCGUGCCUAACACAUGCAAGUCGAACGAGAAAGGGGAGCAAUCCCUGAGUAAAGUGGCGACCGGGUGAGUAACACGUGACUAACCUACCCUCGAGUGUGGAAUAACAUCGGGAAACCGAUGCUAAUACCGCAUAACAUCGCAAGAUCAAAGAAGCAAUCCGCUUGAGGAGGGGGUCGCGGCUGAUUAGCUAGUUGGCGGGGUAACGGCCCACCAAGGCGAAGAUCGGUAGCCGGCCUGAGAGGGCGCACGGCCACACUGGAACUGAAACACGGUCCAGACUCCUACGGGAGGCAGCAGUGGGGAAUUUUGCGCAAUGGGGGAAACCCUGACGCAGCAACGCCGCGUGGGGGAUGAAGCC